AGAAAUGGUCGACAACGUCUGUUAUAAUGGAGGCUCUGACAGUGACGUCUCCGACACAUCUUACUGGGAGUACAAUGGCCCCGUCGCCGACAAUGGUGGCACCUAAAGCAACACGUGUACUUUACCAGUGAAGUGGUGUAUAACCAGGAAGAACUAUUUCCAGACUUUUCAUCUCAACUGCCGAUGUCAAGCGGAUUAAACAAGCAGCAUUCAAAUUCAAAUGAAACACGAUAUUUGGAUCCGUGUUUGACACAACUGUGUCUGGAAUAUUAUGAUAUAAUUCUUUCCUAUACUCUCAUGUACAGUAAACUACGGUUAUAACGAACUCAAAGGGACCACUAAUUUUAGUUCGUAAUAACCGUAGUUC